rnacentral:rRNA from 1 species
CAGCCGCCGCGGGAAUACGGAGGGGGCUAGCGUUGUUCGGAAUUACUGGGCGUAAAGCGCACGUAGGCGGCUUUGUAAGUUAGAGGUGAAAGUCUGGGGCUCAACUCCAGAAUUGCCUUCAAGACUGCAUCGCUUGAACGUCGGAGAGGUGAGUGGAAUUCCGAGUGUAGAGGUGAAAUUCGUAGAUAUUCGGAAGAACACCAGUGGCGAAGGCGGCUCACUGGACGACUGUUGACGCUGAGGUGCGAAAGCGUGGGGAGCAAACAGGAUUAGAUACCCCAGUAGUCCCUGUCUCUUAUAC